rnacentral:rRNA from 1 species
UACGUAGGGGGCCAGCGUUGUCCGAAGUUACUGGGCGUAAAGAGCGCGUAAGCGGGUCUUUAAGUGAGGGGUGAAAUUCUGAGGCUCAACCUCGGAACUGCCUUUCAUACUGGGGGCCUUGAGUGUGGGAGAGGCGAGUGGAAUUCCUGGUGUAGCGGUGAAAUGCGCAGAUAUCAGGAGGAACACCGGUGGCGAAGGCGGGUCUCUGGGCCGAUACUGACGCUGAGGAGCGAAAGCGUGGGGAGCGAACAGG